rnacentral:misc_RNA from 1 species
GAUGAAGAACGCAGCGAAAUGCGAUAAGUAAUGUGAAUUGCAGAAUUCAGUGAAUCAUCGAAUCUUUGAACGCACAUUGCGCCCGCCAGUAUUCUGGCGGGCAUGCCUGUUCGAGCGUCAUUACAACCCUCAGGCCCCCGGGCCUGGCGUUGGGGAUCGGCGGAGCCCCCCGUGGGCACACGCCGUCCCCCAAAUACAGUGGCGGUCCCGCCGCAGCUUCCAUCGCGUAGUAGCUAACACCUCGCGACUGGAGAGCGGCGCGGCCACGCCGUAAAACACCCAACUUUCUUAGAGUUGACCUCGGAUCAGGUAGGAAUACCCGCUGAACUUAAGCAUAUCAAUAAGCGGAGGA